rnacentral:rRNA from 1 species
AGCGAACGCUGGCGGCAGGCUUAACACAUGCAAGUCGAAGGGAGCGGCAGACGGUUGAGUAACGAGUGGGAACGUAACUUUUGGUUCGGAACAACACAGGGAAAAUUGUGAUAAUAACGGAUACCGAAAGAUCGGCCCGCGACGGAUUAGCUCGUUGGUAGGGUAAUGGCCGACCAAGGCGACGAUCAGUAGCUGGUCUGAGAGGAUGAUCAGCCACAUUGGGACUGCGACACGGCCCAAACUCCUACGGGAGGCAGCAGUGGGGAAGAUUGGACAAUGGGGGCAACCCUGUUCCAGCCAUGCCGCGUGAGUGAUGAAGGCCCUAGGGUUGUAAAGCUCUUUUGUGCGGGAAGCGGUACCGCAAGAAUAAGCCCCGGCUAACUUCGUGCCAGCAGCCGCGGUAAUAC